UAGCCUAGUAGUUAAGGCUUUGGAUCGCCAACCCGGAGACAGCGGGUUCGAUUCCCGU
rfam:Aedes albopictus isolate Foshan contig105664, whole genome shotgun sequence.